rnacentral:pre_miRNA from 1 species
GGAAAUUUAGAAACUACCGUUGGAUCGAGAAAUGGACGUCUGAGAUUCGUGCACGUCACCAUGAGUUAAAAUUUAACUCGCAGAUUCACUCAUGAGUUAAAAUUUUACUUGGAGUUAAAUUUUAACUCACGGUGAUGUGGACGAAUCUCGGACGUCCAUUUUUCGAUCCAACGGUAGUUUCUAAGUUUCC